rnacentral:rRNA from 1 species
AGCAGGAGCCGGGAAUGAAGAGCCCGGUACAAGCAGAGGACCAGUACAUCAGGAAAAUCCGGUGUACAAUGGAAGGCUGUGACGUGGACCGAACUAAAGUAGGGAAGCCUGUGAGCCAGCUGUCAAGAAAAGCCGCUAUUGUUCAUAUCGUACCCGUACCGUAAACCGACACAGGUGGAUGAGGAGAGAAUCCUAAGGCCGACGGGAGAAGCAUUGUUAAGGAACUCGGCAAAAUGACCCCGUAACUUCGGGAGAAGGGGUGCCCAUGAAGAUGGGCCGCAGAGAAUAGGCUCAAGCAACUGUUUAGCAAAAACACAGGUCUAUGCAAAACCGUAAGGUGAAGUAUAUGGGCUGACGCCUGCCCGGUGCUGGAAGGUUAAGGGGAGAGGUUAGACUUUAGGUCGAAGCUUUGAACUUAAGCCCCAGUAAACGGCGGCCGUAACUAUAACGGUCCUAAGGUAGCGAAAUUCCUUGUCGGGUAAGUUCCGACCCGCACGAAAGGCGUAAUGAUUUGAGCACUGUCUCGACAAUGCACCCGGUGAAAUUGAAAUACCAGUGAAGAUGCUGGUUACCUGCGCCAGGACGGAAAGACCCCAUGGAGCUUUACUCCAGCUUGAUACUGGGAUUCGGUAUUGCAUGUACAGGAUAGGUGGGAGGCUGUGAAGUACGGACGCCAGUCUGUAUGGAGCCGCUGUUGGGAUACCACCCUUGCGGUACUGGAUUUCUAACCUGCACCAGUGAACCUGGUGGGGGACAAUGUCAGGUGGGGAGUUUGACUGGGGCGGUCGCCUCCGAAAGAGUAUCGGAGGCGCUCAAAGGUUCCCUCAGAAUGGUCGGAAACCAUUCGAAGAGUGUAAAGGCAGAAGGGAGCUUGACUGUGACACCGACGGGUGGAACAGGUACGAAAGUAGGACUUAGUGAUCCGGUGGUAUAAAGUGGGAUUGCCAUCGCUCAACGGAUAAAAGCUACCCUGGGGAUAACAGGCUUAUCACUCCCAAGAGUUCACAUCGACGGAGUGGUUUGGCACCUCGAUGUCGGCUCAUCGCAUCCUGGGGCUGAAGUAGGUCCCAAGGGUUGGGCUGUUCGCCCAUUAAAGCGGUACGCGAGCUGGGUUCAGAACGUCGUGAGACAGUUCGGUCCCUAUCCGGCGCGGGCGUAGGAAAUUUGAGAGGAGCUGUCCUUAGUACGAGAGGACCGGGAUGGACGAACCGCCAGUGUAUCGGUUGUCGUGUCAACGGCAGAGCCGAGUAGCUGUGUUUGGUGUGGAUAAACGCUGAAGGCAUCUAAGCGUGAAGCCCCCCUCAAGAUGAGAUUUCCCUAACGCAAGUUAGUAAGACCCCUUGAAGACGACGAGGUAGAUAGGGCAGAGGUGGAAGUGCAGCAAUGUAUGGAGCUGACUGCUACUAAUAGGUCGAGGGCUUGACCAAA